rnacentral:misc_RNA from 1 species
GAUGAAGAACGCAGCGAAAUGCGAUACGUAAUGUGAAUUGCAGAAUUCAGUGAAUCAUCGAAUCUUUGAACGCAUAUUGCGCUCUUUGGUAUUCCGAAGAGCAUGCUUGUUUGAGUAUCAGUAAACACCUCAAAGCUUUUGGAUUUUUUAAUCGAAAAGCUUUGGACUUGAGCAAUCCCAACACCAAUCUUUUUGAGAUCGGUGGCGGGUUGCUUGAAAUGCAGGUGCAGCUGGACAUUCUCCUGAGCUAAAAGCAUAUUCAUUUAGUCCCGUCAAACGGAUUAUUACUUUUGCUGCAGCUAACAUAAAGGGAGUUUGACCGUAUUGGCUGACUGAUGCAGGAUUUCACAAGGGUCGGCAACGAUUCUUGUUAAACUCGAUCUUAAAUCAAGUAAGACUACCCGCUGAACUUAAGCAUAUCAAUAAGCGGAGGA